CUAAUAGCUUCAGUUCCGGCAUUGCUGUUCGGCUAUCUGCCUGCGGUUAGGUUCGUGCUCGGUCGUGAAAAAUGCCAAAGUUGGGAGUGGAAAAGCGCUUAAGGUGGAGGGGCUUGUUCCCUAGAGCGGCGGCGGCACUAGGGGGGCGCGCCGCUCCUCCCUCCUCCUACAGCAGGCGGCGCGCCGCGCGGUCGGUGGGCCGCGACCAUUUGCCCCUGCCCCUCAUGCCCGCCCUCCUGCUCCUACUCCUCCUCCUCCUCCUCCCCCUCCUCCCCCUGCUCGGCCUCCUCCUCGGCGCCGAGUUCAUGGUCGCCGACCCGCCCUCGCACGGCCGCUAGGAGAGGUGGCUGCGGCGGCGGCGGUAGCGGCAGUGGCUGGCGCGGCAGGACGAGCCGUGGGUGCUGCCGUGGGAGGUGUAGGAGCUGAAGGUCCCGUUGGUCAGUUUCCUCUAGUUCCGAGUGUGUCGUUGGUAAUUACUGUAGUCAAAACUUCUAGCACUUAUAUAUCCUUCGACGAGUCUACUGCCGUGUCAUCAUUAUUCGUUGGAGAAGUGACUACUCUUUGAGUUCAAACUCAUGGUAGCGGGGUACUUUCGUUAACGAAAUCUGGGAGUCAUGAGGGCCUCGUUGUUAUCUAAACGAUGUCCACCGAAUCGUCCAGUUCAUGAACACGACUGUUUCUUCUCAACCCACAGUCCGAUAUUGUUUUUCCAAGACGCACUCCCACUUCCCGGCUAGGUAAGAUACUUCACCUCCUGUCUAGAAGAACGGACCCGAUUACUACGUCCCCACUUUCACGUACUAUACUUUUGCCUGUCUCCUUAACGUAAGUAUCUCUUUGGUUUUCCUUAAGGAGCCGGUCUCCAAAAUGAAGGAGUGAACCAGACCGUCCUGCUGUGUCAAAAUCAAUAACCCACCCCUUGUUCACAGUUCUAACGACGUUAAGCUUGUCUAAGUAGAGUUCCUGAGUUACCUUACGUUUCCUCAUAAAGUCGUCGUUCAAGACUCUUCAUACAACUAUAACACCCGAGAAAGGUUUGACCGAUGGUGUAUAGACCUUAACGAGGUAAACCGCUAGAAAACCAAUACGAACGAAUAUAGGGGCUUCUCCUACUACCUCUAUUUUUUUAAUCAUGAAGACAAAGAAGUGCGGUCCCUUGUCGCGUCGCAGGUCUUUAUGUAGAACAUAGUACCUUUUUACUACACGAAUGAUGACUACGAGACGGGUAAGUACCAAUACUCGUGAUAUUCCGUUUCCUAAUGUGAGAGCGAGUACGUGGAAAGAGUCCUUCAUCGUUACGCCCACCUGUCACCCGACGACCGCUACUUGGCGACAUAAUGUAGCAGAGAGGAUUCCUAUAACACCAUCGUUUCGGUUCUCUAUGACUUCUGGUAUAACGCACCGAAGAAGUUGUACCAACCGUACUUUUCCGUAACCGACGUCAACUUCGUCCUGUUCCCUCCUGACUCGAAGAACUACUCCACCCGUGUUCUAUGGAACUAGUGAACUAGUAACUUUCUUUUAUACGACUUCGUCGCGUUGAGACAGGUUUCAAUGACGCUCCUAGAGGAAGUCGUACCCUCUCCACCCAGAAAGUGAAACGAGUAGAGGCGGUCGAAGGACACAACUAGGGAAUGUAUGGGUAUCUCUUAGGUGUCGACUCACUAUGGCGAAUACUCCAACGAGAACAUCGAAAUUGAUGGUUACGCAGAAAAGUGCUUGAAGAGAACUGAUGUUAUUUUUCAACCGGUUGAUGUAAUAUGAGACGAAGUGGUCAGUAUAGACGAUAACUCGGUGUCGAGUUAAGGAGUAGCUACUGACCGAGUAAUUUUCUCCGAAAUCGACUCAACAUGCACUAGUUGUCAGUUAUACUUUUCCGGGAAAGAGAGAAGCGACUUGACGACUUCGGACUUCAUAAACUCAAAUAGCUCUUCGUGUCAAACGUACUACGGUAAGUACUAUUCCAACAGUUAGAAUACGAUAACCUACCAUUUUCCCGUCAGGUAGAUAACUAGGUUGUAGCACUAUAGUAAGGGGGCAUACUUCAGCACCUCGUUGACAACGUACGCUCAUUUUCAACGCUGUCUUUUAUAGACAACGUAGUCAUAAACGUACGAAACAAACUCCAUCUGUAUGUACGACCUUUUCUAAUGGUACUAUACGUCGACCUCGAAAUACGCCUAAUACUCGGUUCCUACAACGAUGGGAAGGAAGCAUGGUCGGUCGUAAUGUCCGAACUGUUCCGUAUACUUUAUAAACGUGUUUUUCUUAAACAGUUCCUCGUUCAAAAACAAGAACCAGCAUACCCUUUACGAUUCCUUCGCGAAAGAUGUUAAUAUUUGUUUGACCUUCUGUAUGUCCUCCGGCAACUUAAACAAUGCCUCGUUGUACUACUACUUAAUACCCUGCUUGACUAUUCUGUCACGGAGGUUUUCGGACUUUACCAACCCUACGACAACCUUGUAUGACAGCCGUUAGAACUGGGAGACAUGUAACAGUCAAACCAAGGUCUACCCGAUCUUUAUGGGUUUAACGCCCUAGCGGAACACUUCUAACACUGUCUGAUAGCUUGUCUUUGAAGUGACGCUGUACCUACGUUGCUAUAUGAUUUCCGGCUAACACAAUUAGAAAACCAGUUUAUGAUGGUACUCCGAGCCGCACCCCAGACGUACCGUUCGUACCUGCUCCUCCGUGUUCCUCGGUCUCAGUUACUUCCUAGAAGCGCUUGUCCGCUGUCUAGUAGCUGAAAUGCAUUAGAUCUCUACUUUAGGUCUUGCUCUACACCACGAGCUACGACGGACACGAAGCUGGGAAACAGGUAGGUCCUGUACAGUAAGUAGCACAAGAUAACGACGGUACGCAUAGUGGUCAGAACGGAGCUUCCGCCUGACCUGAGCUACUUUAGUUUGUCGUUGCGGGCCCUGUCGCUGCUACCCAGCCUCCUGCUGCUGCCAAGGGGGAGCCCGCUCAGAUCUUACGCCACACACGACACGUGGUGUCGGCGGCGUAUUCAAUAUGAGGGAGUAACUCGACAGGUAUAAGACUACACAACACAACAUUCAAAACUCGGGACAUUAAUAACGUAACGCGAGAAGACCCCAACUACGUAUACAUUGUUGUUAUCCAACAACUAAGAAACUCCCCCUCGACACACGCAGGAGGCGUACCCAAAAGACAUUUAAACCGCGCGAUGGACUCAAACUCGUUCCAAAAUUGCCGUAAAGAAAAAAGGAGUUACGGUGCGAACGGUCUAGUACGUUACAAGUACUUCUGAACAACAAAACUUCUUUCACCCUACUCGUUAAAAUAAAAACCACAUUAUAUAUAAACAAAAGGAUAAAC
rnacentral:rRNA from 1 species